rnacentral:rRNA from 1 species
GCUCAGAUUGAACGCUAGCGGGAUGCUUUACACAUGCAAGUCGAACGGCAGCACGAGAGAGCUUGCUCUCUUGGUGGCGAGUGGCGGACGGGUGAGUAAUAUAUCGGAACGUGCCCAGUAGCGGGGGAUAACUACUGGAAAGAGUGGCUAAUACCGCAUACGCCCUACGGGGGAAAGGGGGGGAUCGCAAGACCUCUCACUAUUGGAGCGGCCGAUAUCGGAUUAGCUAGUUGGUGGGGUAAAGGCUCACCAAGGCAACGAUCCGUAGCUGGUUUGAGAGGACGACCAGCCACACUGGGACUGAGACACGGCCCAGACUCCUACGGGAGGCAGCAGUGGGGAAUUUUGGACAAUGGGGGAAACCCUGAUCCAGCCAUCCCGCGUGUAUGAUGAAGGCCUUCGGGUUGUAAAGUACUUUUGGCAGAGAAGAAAAGGCAUCCCCUAAUACGGGAUGCUGCUGACGGUAUC